CCACUCACCAGCACUCAGUCUUCUCUGCAUGGUCCUGACCUGCCCUCCAUGAGCCAGAGAAACAGGACUGUUUUGGGGAUGUCCCCUCCGAGUGGACAUGGAAGACCACGGUUAAAAAAAAAAAA
ensembl:snoRNA